AACGAACGCUGGCGGCAUGCCUAACACAUGCAAGUCGAACGAAGCCUUCGGGCUUAGUGGCGCACGGGUGCGUAACGCGUGGGAAUCUGCCCUUGGGUUCGGAAUAACAGUUAGAAAUGACUGCUAAUACCGAAUGAUGUCUUCGGAUCAAAGAUUUAUCGCCCAAGGAUGAGCCCGCGUCGGAUUAGCUGGUUGGUGAGGUAAAGGCUCACCAAGGCGACGAUCCGUAGCUGGUCUGAGAGGAUGAUCAGCCACACUGGGACUGAGACACGGCCCAGACUCCUACGGGAGGCAGCAGUGGGGAAUAUUGGACAAUGGGCGAAAGCCUGAUCCAGCAAUGCCGCGUGAGUGAUGAAGGCCUUAGGGUUGUAAAGCUCUUUUACCCGGGAUGAUAAUGACAGUACCGGGAGAAUAAGCCCCGGCUAACUCCGUGCCAGCAGCCGCGGUAAU
rnacentral:rRNA from 1 species